CCAAGCGACCCCUCGGGCCAGCCGGUCCUCGGGCCAGCGGACCCACGGAAGGGCAAGCAGGCGGCCCCUGGGCGGCGGGACGGUCGUCGGAGGGCGGCGCCCACGCCGAAGCCCCCUUCCCAGGCCCCCGACAUGGCCCGGGGUGGCGGUCAGAGCUGGAGCUCCGGGGAGUCCGACGGGCCGCCGGAGGAGCGGGCGGCCGAGAAGACCGGAGACAAGAUGGUGAAGGAGACCCAGUACUAUGACAUCCUGGGGGUGAAGCCCAGCGCGUCCCCGGAGGAGAUCAAGAAGGCCUACCGGAAGCUGGCGCUCAAGUACCACCCGGACAAGAACCCGGAUGAGGGCGAGACGUUCAAGCUCAUAUCCCAGGCAUAUGAAGUGCUUUCAGAUCCAAAGAAGAGGGACAUUUAUGACCAGGGUGGUGAACAGGCGAUUAAGGAAGGAGGCUCAGGCAGCCCCAGCUUCUCUUCACCCAUGGAUAUCUUUGACAUGUUUUUUGGGGGCGGGGGACGGAUGGCUAGAGAGAGAAGAGGCAAGAAUGUUGUCCAUCAGUUGUCUGUAACUCUUGAAGAUUUGUAUAAUGGAGUCACAAAGAAGUUGGCCCUCCAGAAAAAUGUAAUUUGUGAGAAAUGUGAAGGCGUCGGUGGGAAGAAGGGGUCUGUGGAGAAGUGUCCCCUGUGCAAGGGCCGCGGGAUGCAGAUCCACAUCCAGCAGAUCGGGCCGGGCAUGGUGCAGCAGAUCCAGACCGUGUGCAUCGAGUGCAAGGGCCAGGGGGAGCGCAUCAACCCCAAGGACCGCUGCGACAGCUGCAGCGGCACCAAGGUGAUCCGCGAGAAGAAGAUCAUCGAGGUGCACGUGGAGAAAGGUAUGAAAGAUGGGCAAAAGAUACUGUUUCAUGGAGAAGGAGAUCAGGAGCCUGAGCUGGAGCCUGGCGAUGUCAUAAUUGUGCUUGAUCAGAAGGAUCAUAGUGUCUUUCAGAGGCGAGGCCACGACUUGAUCAUGAAAAUGAAAAUUCAGCUUUCUGAAGCCCUCUGUGGCUUCAAGAAGACGAUAAAAACGCUGGACGAUCGAGUUCUCGUCAUCACGUCCAAGUCGGGCGAGGUGAUAAAGCACGGGGACCUGAGGUGUGUGCAUAACGAAGGGAUGCCCAUCUACAAGGCACCCCUGGAGAAGGGGACUCUGAUCAUCCAGUUUCUAGUCGUCUUUCCCGAGAAACACUGGCUUCCUCAAGACAAGCUUCCGCAGCUGGAGGCCCUGCUGCCCCCGCGGCAGAAGGUGAGGGUCACGGACGACAUGGACCAGGUGGAGCUGAAGGAGUUCAACCCCAGCGAGCAGAACUGGCGGCAGCAGCGGGAGGCCUAUGAGGAGGACGACGACGACGGGCCGCGGGCCGGGGUGCAGUGCCAGACGGCGUGAGCGGCCGGGCGGACUAGCGCGCCCCGGGUGUAACGUUGGCACCAUGAAAACGGCAUCGCCUGUUGGCCUCGUAUCUGGCGUGUCCUGUGAUACGUUUGAGAGGCCCGUGACCGCACUGACACUUGCUUCUGGGGGCUUUGCCGGGUCGUCGGCCAGUGUGGCCAGUGAGGCCCCUCGCAGGGCGCUGGGCAGUGCCUGCGGGCGCGGCUCCCCUGCCCCCCGCCCCUCCCGGGGCUGCCGAAUCUAGACUCAUUAGAUGACGCUCCUCCAGACAAAAGCACAUCUGUGGCCUGGGCUGGGCCCCAGCGCCUGGUCCACACGGGGCUGCUGCUCUGGGGCUGCAACAGGUGCAUGAGCAUCUCUCGGAAGCUUCCGGAAGCUUCCCAGCCCUGUGGUGAGGACAAACCAGUACUCUGAACACAGCGCCGACAUAACUGUUUGCCUGGGGCCCCGCACUUUGUUGCUCGCGGUUGUGAUGAUUUUCUGUUGGCAGUCUUUGCGACACUCUUCCACCGAAGUGCUUACCGUAAAGGACACCCCCCACGUGCCGCGGAGCCUCCUGGCCGUGGCUCAGGCCUCGGGAGCUGCAGCCUGGCUGGGGAGGCAGACAUCCGUCUGCACCCGCUCCCAGGGAUGUCUCCUCCGGCUGCAGGGCCACAGGAUGCGGGGCCUCCUGCUUGGGACGCGGUUCUGGCAAGAAGCGCGCUGCCCGAGCUCCGCUGGGCACAGUGGUGAGGGCAGCCUGCCCGGAGGGACAGUCCUCACUGCUUCACUCCCAGCAGGCAGCCCUCCCCUGGUUCUGUAGAAGCGGAGAGUCUGACACAGACCAGGGGCCGCCGCAGGAGGGCAGAGGGGCCCAUGAGGCCCCCGCAGUCGGGGUGCGCUGGCUUUGGGGGGGGGCCAGGCUCCAGCAGGACCCAUGCGGGCGGGUGCCACUUGCUCAAAAUAGGGCCCGCUCUGACCGUUGGUCAGGACAAAUCUAAAACCUACUCUUCCAACCCAGCCUGUGUGAAAACCCAUGUACAAAUGGACCCCAACUCCAGGGAGUCCCGUCCGUGCCGCGACUUCCUGAUCAUCACCACAGAGCUACUGCUGAUGGGGGGCUCUGUUCAGCUCCAGAUUCCUGGGCAUGGAGACAGGAUCUGGCGGGUGUUCCUUCAAACUCACUCCACCUGUACAUCUGUCCCUUCGAAAUUAAACCUGAGCUGGGAUGAGAGACAAAUGGCUCUGGUUGUUUACAUUUUCUCGAGCCCCACCGAGGGCGUUAAGUGCCAGCCUGCCUCACACUGGUGGACGGGAGCUCGUACCUGGGGUGGGGGUGAGUGCCGACGCUCACUCCAUGGAAGAGACGUCCCUGGCUCUGGUUACAGGAGGGCCAACAAGGCCAGGAGGCAGGAGAGGGGUGCGGGCUUCAUCCUGAGAGCGAUGGGUUUGGGGGACAAACGUGCAACCUCACAGGCAUAGGAAGUCGUUAAUAAAAAGCAACAAGCUUCAGAGUGUGAACCAUUUCCACACAAGCCCCGCUGAAGGGGUAACGGAGGCGGGGCUUGGAGACUGUGGAUGCCGUGGAGGCAGCCUCCUCCACCGCAGGCCACAGCCCUGUCUGAAGGCCGACGGGUGCGGCAGGCGAGGUCUUCAGGGUAUCAGUAGACAUUCAGAUAGGCAGGACUCCAGAACAUUCCCACCUGGGGAAAUUCCCUGUUCCCUUCAGGACCCCAUUCUGAAACCAAGAGCUGCUUCGUCCCCACGUCUGCAGGGCUCAACCCUCUGGAGAGCCAGCCUGCACUUCUCAGCUGGGAGGUUCGGUGACUGCCCGGAUCGCAUCAUCACUGGGGCAGGUACUCCCCCCACUCUCCCACCCACAACAGGGCAGCUGGAAAAGCCCGUUCAUGGACACGGUGU